UAUUAUAUGCUGAUGUUAAAGAUUAAGCCAUGCAUGUGUAAGUUUAAAGACCAAGUAGGAUGAAACUGCGGACGGCUCAUUAUAACAGUAAUAGUUUCUUUGGUUAGUCGGUACAAGGAUAACUUUGUGAAUGAUAAAGCUAAUACUUGAGACGAUCCGGGAAGUAUUCUACUUUCCGGCCCUCGGAUGCGAGUCUGGGGAAAAACGACAUUUUUUUGUGAAAAAGGAUGCCGCGACAAUUGAGGAAAGCGACGCUUUUGACAAGUAACCAAUGGGAAUUUCUGAUCUAUCAAUUUGUUGGUAGUAUCGAGGACUACCAAGAUUAUAACGGAUAACGAGGAAUUGGGGUUCGACAUCGGAGAGGGAGCUUUACAGAUGGCUACCACUUCUAAGGAAGGCAGCAGGCGCGUAAAUUACCCACUUUCGACCCGAAGAGGUAGUGACGACAAAUAACUCUUGGCACCCCUCGGGGUGACUCGAAGGAAUGAUUUAGAAGCAAAUUCUCUAAAGAAAUCAAUU
rnacentral:rRNA from 1 species